rnacentral:lncRNA from 1 species
GAAGAUUCAAAGGGAAGAGCCUCACAACAAAGGACACCUCGAGGUGCCACCAUUGAAUUGCUGUGCUUAAAACCUGGUGUAUUUUGGCUACAAAAGGUCAAAUCAGCAGAGCUGAUGAAGGCAGCAGCUGAAAUUCCAGUGCAGGUCCCAGUUAACAGCACAAACGUGACUGGGAGCAGCUUCUGCACGAUUCCUUCACCCAAGGAGAGGAACUGAGAACAGCCCAGAGCACAAAGGAGGAGUGGUUUUUGUUCAGGAUGGUUUGUGCUUCUGUUCUCUUGUAGGCUGAGUCGUGCUUUGGGUUAGGGAAGAGCCAUUUCUGGUUGUGCUGAGCAGAUUUUGGAAAUAUUCUGUGUUUUCUGGGUUUUUUUGUUUGUGUUUAUAUCUCUUUAUUGUGUUUCAGCCACCAUGGUUUGUGCCUCUGCUCUCUUGUAGGCUGAAUCCUACUUUGGGUUAGGGAAGAGCUAUUUCUGGUUGUGCUGAGCAGAUUUUGGAAAUAUUCUGUGUUUUCUGUCUGUUGAUGUGUUUUUAUAUCUCUUUACUGUGUUCCAGCCACCACAGUUUCCUUUCUUGCAGUCCCAUUGUGCAGCAGCUCUUCCACAAACCCCUCGGUCUCUGCCUCCCAGUUGGUUUGUUUGAAAAUGAGAUUUCACAAUUGUCAAGUCCCAGAGGAAAUUCUUGGAAAAUAGUCUGGCAAGGAAGAAUAUCCCAACUUUCUCUGGCAAAAAUUAUUUCCCUGAGGAAGGUGGGAGUGAAAUGA